CAGUAGCCACGGUAAUACAGAGGGUGCAAGCGUUAAUCGGAUUUACUGGGCGUAAAGGGCGCGUAGGUGGUUAUUUAAGUGAGAUGUGAAAUCCCCGGGCUUAACCUGGGAACUGCAUCUUAUACUGGGUAACUGGAGUGCAGUAGAGGAUAGUGGAAUUUCCGGUGUAGCGGUGAAAUGCGUAGAUAUCGGAGGGAACACCAGUGACGAAGGCGGCCACCUGGACUGAGACUGACACUGAGGCGCGAGAGCGUGGGGAGCAAACAGGAUUAGAUACCCGAGUAGUCCCUGUCUCUUAUAC
rnacentral:rRNA from 1 species